UCGACAGGUUGAACCGAAGAAGUGAUUGAUGUCAGCGGCGGACCAAUGCAUAGGCAGGGGAGGAGCUGGAGGACCUGGCGAGGCAGUUGGUCCUCCGACCAAUUAAUGAAUGAGGGCGGGACUAGACUAUACCACGUGAUCAUCCUCGCGGUGGGCAUGGAUGUUCGGAGUGUGUGUGCGCGGAGAGCUGUCGGCAAGGAAAGAAAUAAACAGCAGGAAGCGGGAGGGAAAUGGUGUUGGUAUGGUCUGAGAGGUUUUACAAUCAUUUGGUACACAUCGGAAAAUACAAAUUUGAAACUUACAGUCCCGUUUUUGCAGCAAACGGGAAAAUGCCUCGUUGAUAAUCGGCCCGAAAACCAGUGAUCAAUGCCAAAGCCUUGUUGCCUGUGGAGCGGGUGAUGUUUGACUUCCUUGUACUGCUGCAGUUUGUAUGGUGAAGGUGCUCCCACAACGUGGUUGGGCCUGUGACAAUGAGAGUACACAGACAGUAUGUUCCUGUUAAGGUCAAGGCUGGGAGGCGUCGAGAAUGCUGCGUGACAUGUGAAAUUGAGGCUCUGGUCAAGAAAAUGAAGGAAGGAUAUGGCAGGUACAGACCACUGUGUGAAUCCCUA